rnacentral:lncRNA from 1 species
GGAGGAAGCCAAAGAGACAUCAUGGCUGAGAUCAUGGUGGUGGAACCCUGGUUUGGAUCCCUCCACCUAGCCAGUUUUACUCUUUUCCUCACCUGAGCCCUGACAACAUUUGAAUUCAUAACUCAAACUUUAGCCUCGCACAUGCUUCAGAGACCUGGAUCAAGAAUUCAACUUCUGCUGAGCAAGUGACCAGCUGAGAAACUCUGGGCAAGUGAGCCUCCAUAAGUCUCAUCUCGUACAUCUGGAUAUACCUACCCCUCCACUGUAAGAGUUACCGAAAGUGUCUGUGAUGGUCCUGUAGGCUUCCAAGGUGAUUGAGCAGCAUCAGUCUUCAGGUGCUAAGCCAAGAAGAUCUGGGAAGGAGUCAGUCAGAGAGCCUUGGGCCAGAGUUCCAGGGAGGACCUGAGGUCGUAGGUGGAUCUUUCUCAUGGAGCAAAGAGCAGAAGGACAGGGGAUUGAUCUCCCAAGGGAGGUCCCCUGAUCUGAGUCACAGCACCAAAUUUCACACUCAUCUAUGUGAGGAGACCACCAAACAGGCUUUGUGUGAGCAACAAGGCUGU